AUCUAAGGCUAUAAUACUGUGGUAACUGAUCUCCUCUGAUCUCAGAAGGUAAGCAAGACAGUGUCUUCUCUGGGGCCCAGCCCAAGCAUGAGAUC
rnacentral:rRNA from 1 species